rnacentral:rRNA from 1 species
GAUGAACGCUAGCGGCAGGCUUAAUACAUGCAAGUCGAGGGGCAGCAGGGGUGUAGCAAUACAUCUGCUGGCGACCGGCAAACGGGUGCGGAACACGUACGCAACUUACCCAUAACUGGGGGGAUAGCCCGGGGAAACCCGGAUUAAUACCUCGUAAGAUAAUGGAGUGGCAUCACUUUUAUAUUAUAGCUCCGGCGGUUAUGGAUGGGCGUGCGGCUGAUUAGGUAGUUGGUGCGGGUAACGGCCCACCAAGCCUGCGAUCAGUAACUGGUGUGAGAGCACGACCAGUCACACGGGCACUGAGACACGGGCCCGACUCCUACGGGAGCAGCAGUAAGGAAUAUUGGGCAAUGGACGCAAGUUCUGAACCAGCCAUGCCGCGUGAAGGAUGAAGGUCCUC